rnacentral:rRNA from 1 species
GCUUAACACAUGCAAGUCGAGGGGCAGCAUGGUCUUAGCUUGCUAAGGCCGAUGGCGACCGGCGCACGGGUGAGUAACACGUAUCCAACCUGCCGUCUACUCUUGGACAGCCUUCUGAAAGGAAGAUUAAUACAAGAUGGCAUCAUGAGUCCACAUGUUCACAUGAUUAAAGGUAUUCCGGUAGACGAUGGGGAUGCGUUCCAUUAGAUAGUAGGCGGGGUAACGGCCCACCUAGUCUUCGAUGGAUAGGGGUUCUGAGAGGAAGGUCCCCCACAUUGGAACUGAGACACGGUCCAAACUCCUACGGGAGGCAGCAGUGAGGAAUAUUGGUCAAUGGGCGAGAGCCUGAACCAGCCAAGUAGCGUGAAGGAUGACUGCCCUAUGGGUUGUAAACUUCUUUUAUAAAGGAAUAAAGUCGGGUAUGCAUACCCGUUUGCAUGUACUUUAUGAAUAAGGAUCGGCUAACUCCGUGCCAGCAGCCGCGGUAAUACGGAGGAUCCGAGCGUUAUCCGGAUUUAUUGGGUUUAAAGGGAGCGUAGAUGGAUGUUUAAGUCAGUUGUGAAAGUUUGCGGCUCAACCGUAAAAUUGCAGUUGAUACUGGAUAUCUUGAGUGCAGUUGAGGCAGGCGGAAUUCGUGGUGUAGCGGUGAAAUGCUUAGAUAUCACGAAGAACUCCGAUUGCGAAGGCAGCCUGCUAAGCUGCAACUGACAUUGAGGCUCGAAAGUGUGGGUAUCAAACAGGAUUAGAUACCCUGGUAGUCCACACGGUAAACGAUGAAUACUCGCUGUUUGCGAUAUACUGCAAGCGGCCAAGCGAAAGCGUUAAGUAUUCCACCUGGGGAGUACGCCGGCAACGGUGAAACUCAAAGGAAUUGACGGGGGCCCGCACAAGCGGAGGAACAUGUGGUUUAAUUCGAUGAUACGCGAGGAACCUUACCCGGGCUUAAAUUGCAGAUGAAUUACGGUGAAAGCCGUAAGCCGCAAGGCAUCUGUGAAGGUGCUGCAUGGUUGUCGUCAGCUCGUGCCGUGAGGUGUCGGCUUAAGUGCCAUAACGAGCGCAACCCUUGUUGUCAGUUACUAACAGGUUCUGCUGAGGACUCUGACAAGACUGCCAUCGUAAGAUGUGAGGAAGGUGGGGAUGACGUCAAAUCAGCACGGCCCUUACGUCCGGGGCUACACACGUGUUACAGUGGGGGGUACAGAGGGCCGCUACCACGCGAGUGGAUGCCAAUCCAAAAAACCUCUCUCAGUUCGGACUGGAGUCUGCAACCCGACUCCACGAAGCUGGAUUCGCUAGUAAUCGCGCAUCAGCCACGGCGCGGUGAAUACGUUCCCGGGCCUUGUACACACCGCCCGUCAAGCCAUGGGAGCCGGGGGUACCUGAAGUGCGUAACCACGAGGAGCGCCCUAGGGUAAAACUGGUGACUGGGGCUAAG